AUUUAUAUAGUUUAAAAAAAACAUUACAUUUUCAAUGUAAAAAUAAAUAAUUUAUUUUGUAAAUA
rnacentral:tRNA from 1 species